rnacentral:rRNA from 1 species
AGACCCGAAACCCGGUGAUCUAGCCAUGGGCAGGUUGAAGGUUGGGUAACACUAACUGGAGGACCGAACCGACUAAUGUUGAAAAAUUAGCGGAUGACCUGUGGCUGGGGGUGAAAGGCCAAUCAAACCGGGAGAUAGCUGGUUCUCCCCGAAAGCUAUUUAGGUAGCGCCUCGUGAAUUCAUCUCCGGGGGUAGAGCACUGUUUCGGCUAGGGGGCCAUCCCGGCUUACCAACCCGAUGCAAACUGCGAAUACCGGAGAAUGUUAUCACGGGAGACACACGGCGGGUGCUAACGUCCGUCGUGAAGAGGGAAACAACCCAGACCGCCAGCUAAGGUCCCAAAGUCAUGGUUAAGUGGGAAACGAUGUGGGAAGGCCCAGACAGCCAGGAUGUUGGCUUAGAAGCAGCCAUCAUUUAAAGAAAGCGUAAUAGCUCACUGGUCGAGUCGGCCUGCGCGGAAGAUGUAACGGGGCUAAACCAUGCACCGAAGCUGCGGCAGCGACACUGUGUGUUGUUGGGUAGGGGAGCGUUCUGUAAGCCUGCGAAGGUGGCCUGUGAGGGUUGCUGGAGGUAUCAGAAGUGCGAAUGCU